UCGUAACCUGCAAAGCAGACCCGUGAACACGUUUAAACAUAUUCAUGCGAUCGCGAUUUGGGGAUGCCUUUGUGUCCAAUAUCACGACCUCGACCCCAAGUGGUGCAAGUCUCUUGGGUGUACUACUAACCUCCCGGCGCGGCAAGCGCCAAGGUAAACCAUAUUGAACACCUCUCAUUCUUGAUGCUGUUCGUGGUACUCGGGAAAUGAUGAGGAGCGUCAACUGAAUAGUU
rnacentral:rRNA from 1 species